UGGAGCAAAGAAAACCAUCCUCAUUCCAUUUUAAGCUGAAAUGAGAAUAAGAAAUCUGAACUCAAUUAUGUGCAGUGCAACCAAAGGUGACUGAUGGAUAAAAGGAUAGAUUAUUGAAUCUACUCUGAAAAGAAAAAAAGAAGAAUACGGAUAUGAUUCUUCCAUUUGUGGCCAAAUGAAAAGAAGAAAUGAGGCUGGCGAGGUGGCUCAGCAGGUUCAUAAUCUUGAAUUCAUUUCUGAAUACAUUUUAUGAACUGUUAUAAUGAAGAAUCAUCUCAGUAAGUAUGCCACUGCUUAAUUUAUUUAUUUAAAACAUAAAUUAUUCCAGUUUUCCAGUAUUUUUCCCUCUGGUCUGGUCUAAGAGGAACUUCAUAGUUUCUUGUUAUUUCAAACAACUUUACCUUUUAUGUUAGUUCACAUUACUUACAUUUUUCAUGUGCUAGACCUGUCUUCUGUUUACAAUAUAGGCUUAAGGUAUGUGAGCAAGGGCCCCGAAGACCUCAAGUCUCUUUAAAUUUAUUGCUCUGAAGUGUUACUAUUUAGGUGUCUCCUAGAAUAAUGAACUUUAAUGGAAAAUGAAUACUGUCAGUAUUAGUGAAAUGUGGCUUUAAAUGCCACCCCUCUUGAAAUGGUCACAGUGUAGUUAACAGUUUUUGCCAGCAAGAAGACACUAGGAAAGCUCACUUCUUACUGAGCAUCUAACCUAAAUUGUGGUGCAUGUGAACUCAUAGUAUGUGGCUAUUCUUGGUUAUUGGAGUCUCUGAUUAGAACAGUACAAUUCAGAGUGCUCUUUGAGAAUUCUUCUUACUGAUUUCCAGAGUGGCUGGACCAGUUGCACCUGUAGACACAUGGCAUUCACUUAUACAGAUACAUAUGUAUACACAUAAAUAAAAAUAAAAAGACUAGGAUAAACAGCAGUGAUUUAAAAUUAGAGUGUACAACAAGAUUAAUAGUCAAACAAGCAGUGGUUGUUUUCAACUAAAUUGGGUAUCCCCACUGGAGCAUGGAUGUUUAUUCAUCCCUUUUAUCAAUUAUUUCAUUUCACAGGAGAUGGUCAAUAAGGAGAAUGAAUUAGGUUGGAUAUGGCUUUACAGGCAUGUAAUCUCAGUCCUUGGAUCCUAGCCCAAAGAGGCAAGAAUGCAAGUUUCAGGACUGCUUAGGCUAUAUAGUGAGACUCAUCUCAAAAGAUAAAUCAGUAAGUGAUAUAAUGAUUAAAUUUGUAAUAGAGUAGGCAAAACAAUUUCAUUUGACAAAGACAAUUGCCGCCAUAAAAUACAAAGAAAUUACACAAUAUCAUAUAGUAAACAAAACAUGUUUCACAAGAUUUAGAAUAAAAGCUCAAUGUAAAAAAUGAUCUGUUUCUAUAUAAAGAUGAACAGUAAAUACCAAAAUGCUAUUUCCAUUAGAUUGAGAAAAUGCAAAAUAUAUUAAAGUUUGAUAGAAAGGCACCAUGCAGAGUCAACCUUGAGUAAAACCAUUAAACACAGGUUUCCUACUGAUUAGACACCAGUUUUAUCCUCUUCUAUUCAACUGAAAUUUCUUUACUACCCUGUGUUGGAAAGUGCUGUAGUCUCCUUUAAACAAUUAAUGAUUGUGAAAAUUACAGCUUGUUCUUCUAUUCCCUUAGUGGCACCAAAUGGUACUCUGCAUAUCAUUAAUAUACUAUGCAAAUGAUGUAUUUGGCUCCUGUUCCUCAGUUUAGGGUAACCUUGUCAGUCAGCAUGCUGGCAGUAAUGAGCUGUGUGAUGAAAGCUAGCCCAGCUGUUGUGAAGGUCACAGAAAUUCUCCACCUCCGCUUUUUGGCUUAAGUCUAUAUCACAAAUUUGAUGGAAAAGGAAACAGCUUUGAUUAACGUUUUUCUGAAGUCACCUGAGUGUUACCCAAGGCCUUGUAGAGGUCUUACUGGAAUAUUUUUUUCAAACAAAGAGCACCCAUACUUUUCAAAUGACUUUACUCCUUGACCACUUACUUGUAUAUCAUGCUGAUUCAGUUUCCGAAUGAUGCUGAGGCAGGGAUGAGGAGGCAUGGUAGAUCAUACAGUUUGGCAUAACUUCAGCUACCUAAGUUUUAGAAACUAUUUUGCUAUCAUAUGGAAUACUUCUGGAUGAUAAAUUUUUUUCUUUGUAAUGAUUUUCUGUUAAUAUCCCUAUGUUCUGAAAAACUUUGAGUUUACUUAAAACUUUCAGUCUAUUUGGGAGCCAUUUUACUUUUAAAUAAUAAUUUCUAAGGGGAAAACUUCAUUCAAAUACCUCUGAUGAAUUCUCAACAGUAAAAGCAAAGACAGAAAAAAAAAGCUAUGAUGACUCCAAAUGAUUAUCUGUAACUUGUAAGGAAACUUCUGUCCAUGAGGUUCAUUUAUAUUAUAUAGAAAGCUCCUGAAGAGAAAGGGUGUGUAACAGAAUUAACAGAAUCUUGGGGGUCUGGCAUGAAGAAAAUACUCCAGUAGUCAAAGAACACAGAUUGAAGAAGACCCAGCCUUGGCAUGCGCACUGUGUGUUUUCAUCUGGGCAUCUAAGAUCUAAGAAGUUCCAUCUAAAUUGUGGGCUUGGGCUCACAGUGCUCCACCCCGAGUGCCUGUCCGGCUGAACUGACGAGGCCAUGCAAUAUGGAUCUCAAUGGAUGUGUUUGAUGGUGUUCAGGAAUCUUUAGAGAUACUGGUAACUAGCUGAAAAGUAAAACUUACCCAAACUAAGUGCUAUGUGUGUUUGGACUCAGAGGAGUAAAAUAUUCCAAAUACUCAUAAAAUAAACUUCUCUGUGUCUAAGCUAUUUCCCUUAUCUACUGCAAGAGGAAUUCUGUUUUCAGAUUGCUGGCUUUUGUUAACAUCACUGUUAUCUUAUGA